rfam:Salmo salar isolate Sally breed double haploid chromosome ssa12, whole genome shotgun sequence.
UAGCUCAGUUGGUUGAGCAUGGCGCUUACAACGCCAGGGUUGUCGGUUUGAGUCCCAC